rnacentral:tRNA from 1 species
GGGCCCAUAGCUCAGCUUGGACAGAGCAACUGCCUUCUAAAAGAGGAGAAACCGAGUUUCUCCUUCUACCCUCUUCCCUUUGAGGGGUUGGAGAAAGCAGGAGGUCGGGGGUUCAAAUCCCCCUGGGCCCG